rnacentral:rRNA from 1 species
UACGUAGGGGGCUAGCGUUGUCCGGAAUCAUUGGGCGUAAAGAGCGUGUAGGCGGUCCGGUAAGUCCGCUGUGAAAGUCGGGGGCUCAACCCUCGAAUGCCGGUGGAUACUGUCGGGCUAGAGUACGGAAGAGGCGAGUGGAAUUCCUGGUGUAGCGGUGAAAUGCGCAGAUAUCAGGAGGAACACCUAUUGCGAAGGCAGCUCGCUGGGACGUAACUGACGCUGAGGUGCGAAAGCGUGGGGAGCAAACAGG